AGGCUUGUAGACCAGAUACUUGUUUUUUCCCCCAAUAAAGACUUAUCAGCGUUUUCUUCUCUAUAUUGUUCUGGGUUUUAAUUAUAACAAAUGGAUUAGUAUGGAGUUUUUUAACUUGAAAUACAAAAAUUUUAUAAUUUGUACUGUAGUUUCAACAGAAAUGAUAAUAAUAAAGGUGGGAUGGUAUCCAACAAAGCUGACUUUAGCUUCUGUUCUUUCUAGACUUGCCCGGGUUCACUCACAGUGUGUAAAAAAGAGACCAUGCUUUGAUAACACCUGAGAGUCACGUUUUCUGCCCAUUACCGGACUGGAUUAACACAAUGGGUGCUUAUCUAAUUACGCUGGCAAUGGGCUCACAGUUUGUUAUGUACUUGGCAAAGAUGCGAGAAAACUCUAAAUCUGGCUCGCCUCCAAUUGGUGCUGAGAGAUUUGUUUUUGUGCUUCAAGAUACGGUGACUCUCAUUGCUGUAUUGGACAUCAGUCACAAACUAGAGGUGGAUUCAUAUGCUUAUCUUCCUCCAAACUCGAAACAUUCCUUGAAAUCUG